rnacentral:rRNA from 1 species
UGGGGAAUAUUGGACAAUGGGCGGAAGCCUGAUCCAGCAACGCCGCGUGAGGGAUGAAUGCCUUCGGGUUGUAAACCUCUUUCAGCUCUGACGAAGCGAGAGUGACGGUAGGAGCAGAAGAAGCACCGGCCAACUACGUGCCAGCAGCCGCGGUAAUACGUAGGGUGCGAGCGUUGUCCGGAAUUAUUGGGCGUAAAGGGCUCGUAGGCGGUUAGUCACGUCGGGAGUGAAAACUCGGAGCUUAACUCCGAGCUUGCUUCCGAUACGGGCUGGCUAGAGGUAUGCAGGGGAGAAUGGAAUUCCUGGUGUAGCGGUGAAAUGCGCAGAUAUCAGGAGGAACACCGGUGGCGAAGGCGGUUCUCUGGGCAUUACCUGACGCUGAGGAGCGAAAGUGUGGGGAGCGAACAGG